GACGAACGCUGGCGGCGUGCUUAACACAUGCAAGUCGAACGCUGAAGCUCAGCUUUUGUUGGGUGGAUGAGUGGCGAACGGGUGAGUAACACGUGAGUAACCUGCCUCCUUCUUUGGGAUAACGCCCGGAAACGGGUGCUAAUACUGGAUAUUCACUGGUCUUCGCAUGGGGGUUGGUGGAAAGGGUUUUUCUGGUGGGGGAUGGGCUCGCGGCCUAUCAGCUUGUUGGUGGGGUGAUGGCCUACCAAGGCUUUGACGGGUGGCCGGCCUGAGAGGGUGACCGGUCACAUUGGGACUGAGAUACGGCCCAGACUCCUACGGGAGGCAGCAGUGGGGAAUAUUGCACAAUGGGCGCAAGCCUGAUGCAGCGACGCCGCGUGAGGGAUGGAGGCCUUCGGGUUGUGAACCUCUUUCGCUCAUGGUCAAGCCGCAACAAUGGUUGUGGUGAGGGUAGUGGGUAAAGAAGCGCCGGCUAACUACGU
rnacentral:rRNA from 1 species